GCUCUUGAACGAGGAAUCCCUAGUAAGCACAAGUCACUAGCUUGUGCUGAUUACGUCCCUGCCCUUUGUACACACCGCCCGCCGCUACUACCGAUUGAAUGGCUUAGUGAGGCCCUCGGAUCGAUGCUCAGAAACUGGCAACAGUUUUUGUUUGUUGAGAAGUUGGUCAAACUUGGUCAUUUAGAGGAAGUAAAAGUCGUAACAAGGUUUCCGUAGGUGAACCUGCGGAAGGAUCAUUACUAGUAUGGCGAAUCGAGCGUUAGCGAGGUUUUGCGAUCUAAUUUAUAUUUAAAACCUCACUCUUUAAAUGUAUUAUAUUGUAUUUUUGAUAAAUAAAAAAGAUCACUUUCAACAACGGAUCUCUUGGCUCUCGCAUCGAUGAAGAACGUAGCGAAGCGCGAUAAGUAGUGUGAAUUGCAGAAUUCCGUGAAUCAUCGAAUCUUUGAACGCAAAUUGCACUCUCUGGUAUUCCGGAGAGUAUGCCUGUUUGAGGGUCAAUUAAAUAAAAUCGGGCGUUUUUACUGUCCGGAAUUGGGUCGUCAUAACUUCGGUUAAGUGACCUAAAAUUUUGUAUGAUUUUUACAAACGUAUUUAAAAUAUUUUUGUACGUUUUUGUAAUAUUCAGUUUUAUUAGAUGUGGUCAUUUUUAUGGUUCACGUCUAUAAUUUCUCAUCUAUUGACCUCAAAUCAGGUAAGAAUACCCGCUGAACUUAAGCAUAUCAAUAAGCGGAGGAAAAGAAAAUAACAAUGAUUCCCUUAGUAACGGCGAGUGAAGGGGGAUAAGCUCAAAUUUUAAAUCUGCUGGGUUAUACCUAUCAGAGUUGUAAUUUGAAGAAGCGUUUUCCGCGUCUCGGUUGGUCCAAAUCCUUUGGGAUAAGGUAUCAUGGAGGGUGAGAAUCCCGUUCGGCCGAUUUUAUGACGCUCUAGAUACGCUUUCAAAGAGUCGAGUUGUUUGGGAUUGCAGCUCAAAAUGGGAGGUAAAUUUCUCCUAAGGCUAAAUAUCGGCGAGAGACCGAUAGCGAACAAGUACCGUGAGGGAAAGAUGAAAAGAACUUUGAAAAGAGAGUUAAAUAGUACGUGAAAUUGUUGAAAGGGAAACGAUUGAAGUCAGUCGUACUUACGAGAAAUCAACUCUUCGGUGCAGAUUUGUGGGCGUGCGUGAGCCUUACGGCCUCGUUGUUUGCAACGUCUGUGUUCUUGGGGUGUACUUUUUCGUGUGGUAGGUCAACGUCAGUUUUGUUCGCUAUAAAAUAACUUGAGGAAUGUAGCUUCGAUCUUGUAUUGAAGUGUUAUAGCCUUUCGUAGAUGUGGCGUCCGGGACUGAGGAUUGCAACGAAUACCUUUUUGGGCUAUCCGCCUGACCUCUGAUAGUUGCUUGGGUGUCGAAAGCUUGCUUACGAUCAUCUAAGACGACGGUCAAAAGGUUAGAACGUGAUUAUAUUCGUUAAGGAUGUUGACGUAAUGACUUCAAACGACCCGUCUUGAAACACGGACCAAGGAGUCUAACAUAUAUGCGAGUGUU
rnacentral:sRNA from 2 species